rnacentral:rRNA from 1 species
GGGUUCUGCCAUACCACGUUGAAAGCACGCCAUCCCGUCCGAUCUGGCAAGUUAGCCAACGUUGGACCUGGUUGGGGUUCUAAGUUUUGAAAAUAUCUCAAUAUCAUAGUGGUUGUAUUUC